rnacentral:rRNA from 1 species
CCAGACUCCUACGGGAGGCAGCAGUGGGGAAUAUUGCACAAUGGGCGCAAGCCUGAUGCAGCCAUGCCGCGUGUAUGAAGAAGGCCUUCGGGUUGUAAAGUACUUUCAGUCGGGAGGAAGGUGGUAAGGUUAAUAACCUUAUCAAUUGACGUUACCGACAGAAGAAGCACCGGCUAACUCCGUGCCAGCAGCCGCGGUAAUACGGAGGGUGCAAGCGUUAAUCGGAAUUACUGGGCGUAAAGCGCACGCAGGCGGUCUGUCAAGUCGGAUGUGAAAUCCCCAGGCUCAACCUGGGAACUGCAUUCGAAACUGGCAGGCUGGAGUCUUGUAGAGGGGGGUAGAAUUCCAGGUGUAGCGGUGAAAUGCGUAGAGAUCUGGAGGAAUACCGGUGGCGAAGGCGGCCCCCUGGACAAAGACUGACGCUCAGGUGCGAAAGCGUGAGGAGCAAACAGGAUUAGAUACCCGGGUAGA